rnacentral:sRNA from 1 species
GACCACCUGGUGUUUGCCAGGUUAAGGCCAUACGGACAGCCGGGUCAACUGCCGA